UCUAACAAGGUUUCAUAAAUUGUAAGUGAUUUCUAUCAUCAAACUAUGAAUUUUGAUCAUUAAACACGUUUUUCUAUUUAUUCUCUAUUUCCCCUUAUUUCUGAGUAAUUUUCGUUUUUGAAAAUGAGAGCCUCGAUUUGUUUUUGUUUUUGUUUUUGGAUUAUAUUUUUUAUAAGAAUAAUUUUAGAAUAUAUUUGGUUAAUCGAAAAUCAAGUUAAAAUGGAGGUUUGGCUUGAAUUGCGUGUUUCACCGUCGUUGAGCGAGCGAGAACUCGAAGAAGAAGAAGAAAAUAACAUUAGAUUCAGAGUUUUUAGUGAGUUUUGAAUGAAUUCAAGUCUCUAGGGUGUAUUUCCACUAAGGAAAUCGAUUUUGAUUAAGUAGAAUUCAAGUUAUGCAAAUUUCGGUUCAUAAAGCCUUAAGGAGUAGGGUUUUCGGUUAGGCCCAUAUCAUGCUUAAAUUUGGUGUUUUUGCUGUGCAAUUGUUUGUACUGAUUUAACGCAUUGUUCAGAUAUUGAUUGUAGCCAAGGAAAUCAUUGAAUCGUCGAAAACGAGACGGAAGGAGAAAGUCAUUGCUUUCGAUUUGUGCUAACCAAUCUCGCUUUUCUUGUUUUAUGUUGUUUUAUAUUAAUUCUAACCGUAAACCGUUAACUUUCAAAGUUCUCGAAUGCUUCAUAUGAGAUAAAGGUAUUAUGCAAGUCUCCUUGGAAGAUAUAAUAUCUCAUUCCCGACUUUGAUUGUGAGAUUCGAGACAUGAAAUAUCACAUUUAUUGUCA
rnacentral:lncRNA from 1 species